rnacentral:rRNA from 1 species
UCCGUAGGGAGCGAGCGUUGUCCGGAUUUAUUGGGCGUAAAGAGCUCGUAGGCGGUUUGGUAAGUCGGGUGUGAAAGCUCCGGGCUCAACUCGGAGAGGUCACUCGAUACUGCCAUGACUGGAGUCCGGUAGGGGGGUGUGGAAUUCCCAGUGUAGCGGUGAAAUGCGCAGAUAUUGGGAGGAACACCCGUGGCGAAGGCGGUUCUCUGGGACGGUACUGACGCUGAGACGCGAAAGCGUGGGGAGCGAACAGG